rnacentral:misc_RNA from 1 species
ACGAGUAAGCCUGUUCAUUGCAGGUGCUCUCCCACCCUUGUCAAACUGCUGCGUUUCUUCGGCGGGCCGCAUCGUUGAUGCCGUCGGUUUUACGGACGAGCGUCCGCCGAUCAACAUUUUAACUCAAAUGUCGUGUCGUCUGAUUCAAACAGAAAUAAUCA